GCGGUCAUGGCGGAAUUGGCAGACGCGCAAGAUUUAGGUUCUUGUGUUACGACGUGAGGGUUCAAGUCCCUCUGACCGCA
rnacentral:tRNA from 1 species